CUCUUUACACGCGAUCCUCUCCGCCAGAUAACGUGGCGAUCCUCGUUGCGUACGGAAACGGAAGCUUUCCUUGCUUCGUGUGCCAUGCAUUCGAUCCGCGAGUCAUGGAGGGAAUUGUCUGAGUGAAGUUCCUGUGAGAAUUAAUCGGAAAAGGAGGAUCUAAUUAAUAAGUUAAAAGGGAAGGGUCGAGAAAUAAUAGAUGGACGGUCUGUGGGAACGAGUGAGAAAGUUGAUGAUGUUGUUUCGAGUUGUUGAAAUUGAGAUUGAGAUCUAAAGUUUCGAUUUUUUUGUAUUUUCUCGACAUUAAGAUAACCCGAUCGUCGAUAGAUUAUUUUUUUAGGAUCCCGCGUUAAAUAUCGGAUUAUUUUGCGAGGCAUACAAAAAUUGUUUUGCAAAUGAAUCAAUGACGUUUUCGAGAAAUAGAAUAGUGGAAGUUCCAAGAAGAUCCAAUAGAAAUUAGAAAAGAUCUACUACUCUGUAACAAAGGAACAAUCGGAAUAUUUCUGCAAAAAAAUCUUCGACACGAUUUCCUUUUCAUUGUUUAAACAAAAUAAGAUUACAAGGGUAAAAGUGAAUGGUAGGCGAGGGAUGAAUAUGGAGCUUUUUUUUUUCUUUCUUUUACCGAGUCGUAGGUUUUAUCCAGUGUUCACAAAGGAGUUUUUGCGCGACUCCACGUGGUCCGUACAAGGACACGGGCCGGAAAGGAAUCAAGAUUCGUGGGAUCUUGAGAAUCGAGAACCGGAAUGAUCUUACCCCCUCUCGUUAGAUUUGCGAGUCUGGUCCAAUGGUUCCACGAGGUUGGGCCUCGAGCGACCAGUUUUCGAGCAACUCGCGUUCGGUAAACCUGUUCCCUCUUAAUCGUCGUGAAAAUAAAGAAUACACAACUUUUUCAUCGAGUGUGAAACAUUUUUGUAACGUAUAUAAAAUUGUUCGAGAGAAUUUUAUAUAAUAAUACGUGAAGUAGAAGAAAAAAAAAAGAAAAGGAAAAGAAGAAGGAAAAGAUGGCCGCUGUCGCGUCGAUGGCCAUGUUACGGGGAUCUGGAGCAUUGGGGCACUUCGUCAUCUCCACCCCUGUUUGUAGGGCGCAGGGCUGUGGAGGGUGGUCAGACGCUUCAAGAAGUUUGUGUCCUUAAGUAGAGAACAUUUCGAACGUGGUGUUUCGUUUUACGCGCGACAAAAAUAUUGUAUUUCAAAUCUAAUCAACAUAAUACGAUUACAAUUUAGAGGUAAAAUAGAAAAAUAUCGAGGCAUAAUCGUAAAUAUUCUUAUUCGAUAUUAAAAUUUGUUUUAUCAACGAUGAAAACAAACGAUUCGUGUAUGGAAAACGAACACUUGGUAUCCUUAAAUAGAGAAUAUUUCAAUACGAUACAAUAUGAUUUCAUUUCGCACAAAAAUAUCGUAUUUAAAAAAAAAAAAACAUCCAUUACGAUAUUAUCACCAUUGCAAUUUAUAAAACGGAAAAAUAAGGAAAACCAGAACGAGAAUAUCCACGAAAGAUUAUUCCUCAUAUUAAAAUUCGAGAUCAAUUCCUUCCGUUUCGUAUUUCAUUUAUUAACGAGCAACGAAAGAGAGAGAGAAAGAAAGAAAGAAAAAAAAAUAAUCGCGAUUGAAUCGUUCGACUAAUAUUUUUGUUAUACUCGCGUUGUGUGGAUGGAAAACGCAGGGUCGCGUAAAAAACAACGUCGAUAUUAAACACGCGAGUUGCGCGGGGUGAAACGAGUCUACCUGGUUAGCCGGGCUUUCAUCCCUCGCGAUAUAGGGAGCACGUCUCGAGAGAAAGAAGGGGAGGAAAGGAAAGGAAGGAGAGGGAGGGAAAAGAGAGAAAGCAGAGCCGCGUAUGGAUUUGCUUGGGACCGUUUCAAGGGUGAGGUUAGACCAGGGCGGUUUGAAAAUGAUGAAAAAGCUUCUUGCGUCACUGUCAGCCUCUGUCACCCAUCCCCUCUCGCCCUCUCCUUUUCUCGUCACCUACAGAAGAACUUGCACCCUCGCCCCUAUCCAUCUUAAUAUUAUUAUUUCAUUCCGCGAGCCCGUUUUUUAGAUCCCUCUCUCUUUCUCUUUAUCUCAUCUUCUUUCUCUCCUCCCCCUCUCUCUUUUUCCCGAUCUAAUCGUACGAGUACGAGUUCGACCUCCUCGUUCCCUUCACGGUGAAAACCACCUACCGCCCUUACCCAGCCCUGGAACCAAUCCACCCCCGUCAGGGGACACCCUCCACCUUCCGGAGCACCAUCACUUACGGAUCAAUAGGGUAUGGAAGAUAAACGCACCUAGAGGGGAUCCAGAGGGGCUGUCGGUCGAAAGGAAGAGGGGAAAAAAAAAAAAGAAAAAAAAAGGAAAAAGAAAAAAAGAAAAAGAGGAAACGUAAAUGGUAUCUAUAAGUACUGUGACUCCCUCUGUCAACAAGCUGUGAGAUUGUCGAUGCGGUUUAACCGUGGUUACAGUUGCUGUUGUUGUUUAACGUUGUCGUGUUUGAUUUGAUUUGUCGCUGGUGGAAAAAUUUAAUGACACAAGUUUUAAGAGAGAAACGUAAACAUGUGAAGCGUAGUUGAGGACUUUGUUGAAUUUACUCGAUCAGAGAAGAUGCAUUGAUGAUGAUGUGCAGUAAGAUAAUAGUUAAAUUUUGAUCUAUCCGAAAAUCGUAAUCUUAUACGUUCUAUUAUUAAAUAAUAAUAUUUCAAUACUGUUUGUUGCAAACAAUAAUAAUAAUUCUUCGAUACUAUCCCAUAAAAGUUUUAUAGAUCUUUUAUCGUUUCUCAUUGUUUUAACAUUUUUCGCGUGAUAUAUAUUUUUAAAAAUUGGCAGAUAUUUCAUUUUCACCUCUCUCGCAAUCUUGCUCGUGAAUAUUCAGGAGAUUGCACCGGGUCCUCGCAUCCUUGUUAAAAAGUAUCGUUGUACCUCGUGGUCUGGAACGUGGAGGAAGAGAGGACCAAUCUUCGUAUCAAGAUGAGCCCUCCUCGAAAAUAUAUAUUUGGGGGCGAAUCCCGUCACGUUAUCGCGAAUAUCUCGCACAGAAAUAGGGGGAGGGAACGGGGGAUACCUUAUUCAACGUCAUUUCUUUUAUCGAUGAACGAGAUGAAGGCCGAGUUCUCUCCUCGGAAAGAAGGAAAUCGUUAGGAGAGCGACAUGCAAAUUCGUUCGAAAGUUUCGCCCACCUCUGCGCCUCUAGCACCCUCUGGGCAAGAAAAAGCGGGGCAAGGGUAGGCAGAACCCUCGAAGAAGACGAAGAAGAGCGGGCGGCGAAGAGGAGUACGAUAAAGAAGAGAAGGUGGCCGAGAAUGUUUUCUGUUCCUGGCUGCUGGCGAUUUAUGCGCUCGAAAUCGCAUCUCCCCUAAAAUGAAACGACGAAUAGAAAGGGCAACAACGCAAGAAGGAAACCUGUGGGUGAUCUGUACGUGAGACCUUCUUCUCGCAUAAUAUCUUUUUCUCGCCUUUAAAAAGAUUAGAGACAAUUUUUCUCUAGGAAAAUUUUUCUCUUGAAUGUCUUUUUUUUCUUUCCUUUCUUCGAUAUUCAAAAGAAAUUCCUGUAAUAAAAAUUGAAGGAUCUUUAUUUUUUUUCUCUAUCAAAUUGAAUUUUUUCUCUCGAGUAUCUUUCCUUUCGAUAUUUGCGAUAUAAGCAAAAAAAUUAGCCGUCUUAUUUCAAAGAGAAAAUUCUAAAUUCCUUCGAAGUUUUUUUAACGUGCUAAAAAUGAUAUUGCGAGUGCUCGAUUCGAUGGACGUAAGGUAUUUUCGUAUAAUUCCAAUAUGUAUAUAUAUCCAGGAGUCUGGGAUAUGAUUGGAAUCUCAAAGUCGGCUCAAAGCUUACUCCGUCGAAUGUUCAGUUCCGCAUCGGCGGGAAGAUCAAAGAAACAACUCCUCUUUGUCUCCCGGUCCGGGGGUUACUUGGGAGAGCAGCGAAUAUUAAAAUCUGAGAAAUGAGAUUUUGAGAAAUCGAACUUUCGAAUCUUCAAUCCCUAAAUCACGGAGAAUCCUAUGUAUCUCGCCGGAGAUUCCGAUUAUUUACGAACAUCGCUCGUUUUUCUCUCGCCCAUUCGAUAAUUGAACGGCACGAUAUUUAACCAGGUAUCGAUUCGUAUUAUCGCGUUCCAUUGCGAAUUUUGCAAUUUCCCAAUCCGAUUUAUAUCGUCGAUUUUUCGGGCAAAUGUGGCCGAGGAAUCAAUUCGACUUGUAAAAAUAAAUUACACGACAGAAAAAAAUGAUCCUCGAUAUUAUCGGAGAGAGAAAGAGAGAGAAAGAGAGAGGGAGGGAGGGAGGAGGAAUGGAAACGUUCAAGGGCUGUUUAUAGAUAACAAAUUCUCGCGGUAUCCAAUUAUUUUGAUAUCCCCUCCCGGAGCAUAAAUCUCGCAAAACGCGAGAUAACGCAGUUAUCCACGAGCAUAAACGCGCGAAAUCGCGCGCGAGCCUCGUUUUUCAAGCUUCGUGAAUUUUUAUCGCGUUGCAUCCGGUGGCGUGUGCCAUAUUUCCUCGGCUACCCGAUAGAUUUUUCAGACCGCGCAAAAAUAUCGUGGACCGCGAUAAAAUACUCGUGGAAAAAAGGGAAGAGGUAAAAAAGAAGAAAGAAAAAAAAGAAAGAAAGAAAGAAAGAAAGAAAGAAAGAAGAGGAAGAGGAAAGAAGAAAAAAAAAGGAAAGAAUGACCAGUUGGUUUCGGA